GACGAACGCUGGCGGCGUGCCUAAUACAUGCAAGUCGAACGCACAGUUUAUAUCGUAGCUUGCUACACCAUAGACUGUGAGUUGCGAACGGGUGAGUCACGCGUAGGCAACCUGCCUGGUAGCGGGGGAUAACUAUUGGAAACGAUAGCUAAUACCGCAUACUAUUAAUUAUUGCAUGAUAAUUAAUUGAAAGGUGUAAUUGCACCACUACCAGAUGGACCUGCGUUGUAUUAGCUAGUAGGGGAGGUAACGGCGCACCUAGAUGAAGAUACAUAGCCGACCUGGGAGGGUGAGCGGCCACACUGAGACUGGGACACGGCCCAGACUCCUACGGGAGGCAGCGGUAGGGGAUCUUCAGCAAUGGACGCAAUUCUGACCGUGCAACAGCGCGUGAGUGAGGAAGAUUUCCGUAUCGUGAAGCUCAGUUGUAAGAGAGGAACGAAGAUGAGAUUGGAAAGUUCACACUGUGACGGUACCGUACCAGAAAGGAACGGCUAACUACGUG
rnacentral:rRNA from 1 species